GACGAACGCUGGCGGCGUGCUUAACACAUGCAAGUCGAACGGAAAGGCCCUGCUUUUGUGGGGUGCUCGAGUGGCGAACGGGUGAGUAACACGUGAGUAACCUGCCCUUGACUUUGGGAUAACUUCAGGAAACUGGGGCUAAUACCGGAUAGGAGCUCCUGCUGCAUGGUGGGGGUUGGAAAGUUUCGGCGGUUGGGGUUGGACUCGCGGCUUAUCAGCUUGUUGGUGGGGUAGUGGCUUACCAAGGCUUUGACGGGUAGCCGGCCUGAGAGGGUGACCGGCCACAUUGGGACUGAGAUACGGCCCAGACUCCUACUGGAGGCAGCAGUGGGGAAUAUUGCACAAUGGGCGGAAGCCUGAUGCAGCAACGCCGCGUGCGGGAUGACGGCCUUCGGGUUGUAAACCGCUUUCGCCUGUGACGAAGCGUGAGUGACGGUAAUGGGUAAAGAAGCACCGGCUAACUACGUG
rnacentral:rRNA from 1 species